CAUAGGUUAAUGAGGCGAACCGGGGGAACUGAAACAUCUAAGUACCCCGAGGAAAAGAAAUCAACCGAGAUUCCCCCAGUAGCGGCGAGCGAACGGGGAGGAGCCCAGAGCCUGAAUCAGUGUGUGUGUUAGUGGAAGCGUCUGGAAAGGCGCGCGAUACAGGGUGACAGCCCCGUACACAAAAAUGCACAUGCUGUGAGCUCGAUGAGUAGGGCGGGACACGUGGUAUCCUGUCUGAAUAUGGGGGGACCAUCCUCCAAGGCUAAAUACUCCUGACUGACCGAUAGUGAACCAGUACCGUGAGGGAAAGGCGAAAAGAACCCCGGCGAGGGGAGUGAAAAAGAACCUGAAACCGUGUACGUACAAGCAGUGGGAGCACGCUUAGGCGUGUGACUGCGUACCUUUUGUAUAAUGGGUCAGCGACUUAUAUUCUGUAGCAAGGUUAACCGAAUAGGGGAGCCGAAGGGAAACCGAGUCUUAACUGGGCGUUAAGUUGCAGGGUAUAGACCCGAAACCCGGUGAUCUAGCCAUGGGCAGGUUGAAGGUUGGGUAACACUAACUGGAGGACCGAACCGACUAAUGUUGAAAAAUUAGCGGAUGACUUGUGGCUGGGGGUGAAAGGCCAAUCAAACCGGGAGAUAGCUGGUUCUCCCCGAAAGCUAUUUAGGUAGCGCCUCGUGAAUUCAUCUCCGGGGGUAGAGCACUGUUUCGGCAAGGGGGUCAUCCCGACUUACCAACCCGAUGCAAACUGCGAAUACCGGAGAAUGUUAUCACGGGAGACACACGGCGGGUGCUAACGUCCGUCGUGAAGAGGGAAACAACCCAGACCGCCAGCUAAGGUCCCAAAGUCAUGGUUAAGUGGGAAACGAUGUGGGAAGGCCCAGACAGCCAGGAUGUUGGCUUAGAAGCAGCCAUCAUUUAAAGAAAGCGUAAUAGCUCACUGGUCGAGUCGGCCUGCGCGGAAGAUGUAACGGGGCUAAACCAUGCACCGAAGCUGCGGCAGCGACGCUUAUGCGUUGUUGGGUAGGGGAGCGUUCUGUAAGCCUGUGAAGGUGUGCUGUGAGGCAUGCUGGAGGUAUCAGAAGUGCGAAUGCUGACAUAAGUAACGAUAAAGCGGGUGAAAAGCCCGCUCGCCGGAAGACCAAGGGUUCCUGUCCAACGUUAAUCGGGGCAGGGUGAGUCGACCCCUAAGGCGAGGCCGAAAGGCGUAGUCGAUGGGAAACAGGUUAAUAUUCCUGUACUUGGUGUUACUGCGAAGGGGGGACGGAGAAGGCUAUGUUGGCCGGGCGACGGUUGUCCCGGUUUAAGCGUGUAGGCUGGUUUUCCAGGCAAAUCCGGAAAAUCAAGGCUGAGGCGUGAUGACGAGGCACUACGGUGCUGAAGCAACAAAUGCCCUGCUUCCAGGAAAAGCCUCUAAGCAUCAGGUAACAUCAAAUCGUACCCCAAACCGACACAGGUGGUCAGGUAGAGAAUACCAAGGCGCUUGAGAGAACUCGGGUGAAGGAACUAGGCAAAAUGGUGCCGUAACUUCGGGAGAAGGCACGCUGAUAUGUAGGUGAAGCGACUUGCUCGUGGAGCUGAAAUCAGUCGAAGAUACCAGCUGGCUGCAACUGUUUAUUAAAAACACAGCACUGUGCAAACACGAAAGUGGACGUAUACGGUGUGACGCCUGCCCGGUGCCGGAAGGUUAAUUGAUGGGGUCAGCGCAAGCGAAGCUCUUGAUCGAAGCCCCGGUAAACGGCGGCCGUAACUAUAACGGUCCUAAGGUAGCGAAAUUCCUUGUCGGGUAAGUUCCGACCUGCACGAAUGGCGUAAUGAUGGCCAGGCUGUCUCCACCCGAGACUCAGUGAAAUUGAACUCGCUGUGAAGAUGCAGUGUACCCGCGGCAAGACGGAAAGACCCCGUGAACCUUUACUAUAGCUUGACACUGAACAUUGAGCCUUGAUGUGUAGGAUAGGUGGGAGGCUUAGAAGUGUGGACGCCAGUCUGCAUGGAGCCGACCUUGAAAUACCACCCUUUAAUGUUUGAUGUUCUAACGUUGACCCGUAAUCCGGGUUGCGGACAGUGUCUGGUGGGUAGUUUGACUGGGGCGGUCUCCUCCUAAAGAGUAACGGAGGAGCACGAAGGUUGGCUAAUCCUGGUCGGACAUCAGGAGGUUAGUGCAAUGGCAUAAGCCAGCUUGACUGCGAGCGUGACGGCGCGAGCAGGUGCGAAAGCAGGUCAUAGUGAUCCGGUGGUUCUGAAUGGAAGGGCCAUCGCUCAACGGAUAAAAGGUACUCCGGGGAUAACAGGCUGAUACCGCCCAAGAGUUCAUAUCGACGGCGGUGUUUGGCACCUCGAUGUCGGCUCAUCACAUCCUGGGGCUGAAGUAGGUCCCAAGGGUAUGGCUGUUCGCCAUUUAAAGUGGUACGCGAGCUGGGUUUAGAACGUCGUGAGACAGUUCGGUCCCUAUCUGCCGUGGGCGCUGGAGAACUGAGGGGGGCUGCUCCUAGUACGAGAGGACCGGAGUGGACGCAUCACUGGUGUUCGGGUUGUCAUGCCAAUGGCACUGCCCGGUAGCUAAAUGCGGAAGAGAUAAGUGCUGAAAGCA
rnacentral:rRNA from 1 species